UGCACUGCGAUGUUGUAGAAA
rnacentral:piRNA from 1 species